UACGGGGUUGCGAGCGUUGUCCGGAAUUACUAGGCGUAAAGGGCAGGCAGGCGGAUCCAUAAGUUUAUCGUUUAAGGCGUCGGCUUAACCGGCGUAGGGCGGUAGAUACUGUGGAUCUGGAAUGCGGUUGGGGAAGACAGAAUUCCUGGUGUAGCGGUGGAAUGCGCAGAGAUCAGGAGGAAUACCGAAGGCGAAGGCAGUCUUCCAAGCCGUUAUUGACGCUCAACUGCGAAGGUGUGGGUAUCAAACAGGAUUAGAUACCCGGGUAGUCCCUGAG
rnacentral:rRNA from 1 species